rnacentral:rRNA from 1 species
CACGUAGGGUGCGAGCGUUGUCCGGAAUUAUUGGGCGUAAAGGGCUCGUAGGCGGUUUGUUGCGUCGGGAGUGAAAACCAUGGGCUUAACUCAUGGCUUGCUUCCGAUACGGGCAGACUAGAGGUAUGCAGGGGAGAACGGAAUUCCUGGUGUAGCGGUGAAAUGCGCAGAUAUCAGGAGGAACACCGGUGGCGAAGGCGGUUCUCUGGGCAUUACCUGACGCUGAGGAGCGAAAGUGUGGGGAGCGAACAGG